GAGAACGAAGCUGGAUCUUUUCGAUCGCCCCCACCUACGGGAAAGAGCGCGUGCGCGCAGCUCGGUGUCGGCGAGAAUGUGCUAGCUUUCGAGCUCGGAUGUAAUUAUUAAAAAAAGAAAUCUUCUUAAAUCCUAUGCGGUGGAGAGAAAAAUCUAGCAGGUGGGUGGCGCCGCGGUCUGUUUCCCAGCAGAGACGGCUGAAUCCUCCUUGAUUUUAUUAACACUAAAUCGGAUUCCAUUUAAGAACUCGAGAGACCGCAGAAUGUAAAGCAAACAUUUUUUCUCGAGCCGAGCAAAACCCCGGAGAGCCAGAGAUUGUGUCCUCCUGGCAAUACCCAACCCCAGCGCUCUCUAUAAUGUCAACUCUCUAAAUUCCCUCUGGUCUCUUCUCUCACUCACAGGUCCCACUCCCACUAGUCCCAGGACUGAAUCUUUCUACGCACCGGGAUUGAGGCGGAGUGGGAGGGAGAGCCGUAAAAGA
rnacentral:lncRNA from 1 species